AUUGAACGCUGGCGGCAUGCCUUACACAUGCAAGUCGAACGGUAACAGGUCUUCGGAUGCUGACGAGUGGCGAACGGGUGAGUAAUACAUCGGAACGUGCCCGAUCGUGGGGGAUAACGGAGCGAAAGCUUUGCUAAUACCGCAUACGAUCUACGGAUGAAAGCAGGGGACCGCAAGGCCUUGCGCGGACGGAGCGGCCGAUGGCAGAUUAGGUAGUUGGUGGGAUAAAAGCUUACCAAGCCGACGAUCUGUAGCUGGUCUGAGAGGACGACCAGCCACACUGGGACUGAGACACGGCCCAGACUCCUACGGGAGGCAGCAGUGGGGAAUUUUGGACAAUGGGCGAAAGCCUGAUCCAGCCAUGCCGCGUGCAGGAUGAAGGCCUUCGGGUUGUAAACUGCUUUUGUACGGAACGAAAAGACUCCUUCUAAUAAAGGGGGUCCAUGACGGUACCGUAAGAAUAAGCACCGGCUAACUACGUGCCAGCAGCCGCGGUAAUACGUAGGGUGCAAGCGUUAAUCGGAAUUACUGGGCGUAAAGCGUGCGCAGGCGGUUAUAUAAGACAGAUGUGAAAUCCCCGGGCUCAACCUGGGAACUGCAUUUGUGACUGUAUAGCUAGAGUACGGCAGAGGGGGAUGGAAUUCCGCGU
rnacentral:rRNA from 1 species